CAGCAGCCGCGGGAAUACGGAGGGUGCAAGCGUUAAUCGGAAUUACUGGGCGUAAAGCGCACGCAGGCGGUUUGUUAAGUCAGAUGUGAAAUCCCCGAGCUUAACUUGGGAACUGCAUUUGAAACUGGCAAGCUAGAGUCUUGUAGAGGGGGGUGGAAUUCCGCGUGUAGCAGUGAAAUGCGUAGAUAUGCGGAGGAACACCGAUGGCGAAGGCAGCCCCCUGGGCCAACACUGACGCUCAUGCACGAAAGCGUGGGGAGCAAACAGGAUUAGAUACCCCGGUAGUCCCUGUCUCUUAUAC
rnacentral:rRNA from 1 species